rnacentral:rRNA from 1 species
AGAGACAGCAGCAGCCACGGUAAUACGUAGGUCCCGAGCGUUGUCCGGAUUUAUUGGGCGUAAAGGGAGCGCAGGCGGUUUAGUAAGUCUGAAGUUAAAGGCAUUGGCUCAACCAAUGUAUGCUUUGGAAACUGUUAGACUUGAGUGUAGAAGGGGAGAGUGGAAUUCCAUGUGUAGCGGUGAAAUGCGUAGAUAUAUGGAGGAACACCGGUGGCGAAAGCGGCUCUCUGGUCUGUCACUGACGCUGAGGCUCGAAAGCGUGGGUAGCGAACAGGAUUAGAUACCCGCGUAGUCCCUGUCUCUUAUACC